AGGGGUAUAGCUCAGCGGUAGAGUGUGUGCUCAGCGUGUAAGAGGUCAUGGGUUCAAUUCCCAGUGCCUCCA
rnacentral:tRNA from 1 species